CUCUCUCUGUCGUUGCCUCCUACUCCGCCAUCAUAUUUAACGAAGAAUACAUCACUUCUUCACUCGCUGAGCUGAGAGGAUUGUUGCAUAACACCGGUUGAAUUCGGCGAAAGUGCUAGUGAAAGGAGUACAUUGCUUGCAUAUAUCGCGGGAAGUUAUUCAAAAGCGCGGGCCGUUGAAACUCCAAGAUCCGAAAGUGCGCAUGCUCGUAAUAUCGGGCUUGUUGCCUCGCUCGAGCAGGAAUCGCUGUCGUGGGAUGGUGCAGACGGGGUUUCUUGAAUCUCGAGAUUAAUCGCGAAGAGGGCUGAUCGGGCUAAAAUCUCGAGAUUGAGCAAACUCGGGAUGGUGCAGCACCGCCUACUGUAACCAGAAAUCCAUUGAUUGUUCAUACUAUCUACCAUAGUUUCCAGCCCACAUAGUCCAUUUUUGUUUGCUUCAGAGUCUUGUUACAUCUACAGGUAGACAGGGGAACACCCAUUGAUCUUGAUAUUGGAUGCCAUGCUGUUCAUCUUAUUAGGUCUUGUGGUCUACCAACAGUUUAGUUCAAGAGACUUUUCCUCCAGCAAGGUCUCCUGUCAGCAUUGAGUCAUCAUGGAUCUUCAUGAAUAGAAGCUUGUCUAGAGGAUGAUGAGUGUAUGGGUCUUUCUGAGGUCAUGGUGAACAUGGGUUGUGAUGAAAUACAAGAGAGAUUGUCAGGAAACAAAUCACUCACUUUAUGAACGGACAAGAUAAGACGAGAUACAAACAUCCACAAACCAGGUACGUAUAGUCUUUUAAAGUUAUUUGGUAUAUAUUAUCCUUUAUUCAGAUAGUUCUAAUGAACAAAGAAUUACUUAAAAUCAUUACAAAGUGUCACAGAAACUAUUCUAAUUAAUUUUACUAAUUGUAGACGAAGUAGGGGUCCUGUCUUUCCAAAGCUUUGACAUUCCUGGUAAAUAUAAUAUACGAGGUAAAUACUGGACUGACUUGUAUUGAAGACACCAAGGUUCAUGCUAGAGCAACAACCAACUGAUGUACAUCAUUUCUCCAGGAUUUGAGGCACCCAUUGCAUGCAUCGUUUGUAUAUUUACAUGCAUUACUACAGUAUUUCCAGGGAAAUUGUCAUCUCCCUAAACCAUAAUUUCAUCACUUUUGGGAUAAUCAGCAAAAUGAAUUCCCAGUUUUUCCAAGGGUUGAAUCAUCCAUGUAUCUUGUUAUUAACAGCUGAUGAUAAUAAUAAUUUAUUACCCUUAAACAAAUUAAAUGAAAUUCAGUCUGAAGAAAUUCUUUAAAAAUGAUGUACUCCCAAAAGAAAACAUAAGUAAUAUCUAAUAAACAUGCAGUAUUAUUAGAAAUUAUACAUCAUAGAUGAAAUGUAGUAGAAUAAAAAAUAUGAAUAGAUCCCAUAAAGAAAGGCUAAAGAACUUGCAUCAUCAAUUUUAUUAAGGGGUGUGUCAUUUUGAAUAGGCAGCUGCUGAACAGUUUAUUGAUAGAGGCAUGGUCCUGUGUACAUAAUGACUGUUUACUCAUUUAAAACUUUUUUACUUUCCUGUGAGAAAUGAAAUAAGAUUAGAUUAUAGAAGGGUAUCUCUUAUUGGUGUCAUAAUAAUAUUUUAUGAAGGAGUAAACAAGAUGCUACUGAUUUAUAAUCUUAUCUGAAGAUAAAAGGGGUAUAUAGUUCCAAAUGUUUAAAAACCACAGAGUCAUUCAAAUUAAUAAUCAGCUUAUUAAACAGAACUUUGGAUCCUUAAACAGAUAUGGACAGAUAAUAAACAAAUUGCAACAUGAACAGCUUCAAACUUUAAUGUAUACGUGUAUCCUAUUGACAGACCUUUAGCCUUAGAUGGUUACGUCCAUGAUCAUAUUCAGGAUGAUUUUCAUAUGGUACUAUGUAUUCUUAUCUUUCAUGAUUCAGAUAUGAACUACCAGUGUCAUAAGGUGGUUUCAAACCGCCUCGAUCACAAGAAUCCCCGUUAAAUUACGAAAAAUUUUACAUGCUAAAAAAUACCAGAUAAUUAUUCCUGCAUUCAGACCGCCCCGAAACACACUCUUUGGGGAAAUUUCGCGAAGUUAUGAGCAUGCGCAGUACUGUCUGGUAGCAGACGAAGAAGUGUGCGCUUUUAGCGGUACCAUCAGGGGACGGCCGGGGCGGGAGAUCCGCCUGCGGCCGGCCUAGCUCUAGCACGUACUAUAUCUACUCGAUCGUAUGCGCAAAUCAUUUGUUCCCUUGAUCAUCUGCAAUUGCACUAGAUUUCUCUCCACAUUUAAAUUAAGGCCUUUGUGGCCUCCUCACUCCAGUGCGAUGUCAUUUGGUAUGAAAAUGUAGAAUACUGGUAAAUAUCACCCUUAAUUCGUAAAACUAUUUUUUAAAGAAGAAUCAAUCGCCUAGUCAAAGUCGAACCCCGAGUCACGUCGCAUGAGAAGUGUACGUACAGGUAUGUUUACCCCUGCAUAUGCAUGCACUGGCGCUGGCUUACUCGCUCGGUAGGCCUCGCAUCAGCCUUGCAUAUCCAUGCAUAUCGAACAGCGCGCGCUAUGCACCGGAAAUUCACUUAUCGCGGUGAUCGUUGGGAUACAAGUUCCCGUAGUUUGCUUUCAGAUUGCCAAAAUACCCACGACCUUGGAAAAAUCCCCGCGAAAGUUAUCAUAAUUUCGCCAAGUACCUUCUAUUUAGCGAGUAUUUUCUUUCGGGGAUAUUACGCGUAGUUUGCUUUCACAUUACCAAAAUACCUGGUAUUUUCUGAUCGGGGUAAAUUUCCCGAUCAGAGAAUACCUGGAACUGACGAAUUUCGAGGCGGUCUGAAACCACCUGUCGUGAAUGAAAAAUAGGGUUAGCACGUUCAUUAAUUGCAGAUACAAGAUAGAUGGAAGUUCUGCUAUAUAAAGUUAAGCAACCAUCUGAAGUUAUGAUAAAUCUGUCUUUUUUCUGCCGUUGAUUGUUUGUGAUUUGAAUUUGUAUUUUUAUCAAACUUGCUGAUUGAAUAUCAGAAAGCUACAUAAAAUUAGAUGAAGUUUUCAGCCAAUUUUCUCUUUUGCAAAGUGGUUUUAUAUUUAAAAAAAAAAUAAUAGGGCCACCCCUAUAGAUUAUAAAAUUUAUCUAUUGUAUUUUGUUUCUAUUUUGUAUCAUCCACACCAUAUCAGGUUUAGGACAGAAUAGGCCUACGCUUUCACAUCAUGUAGUAUUGAAAUGGAUCAAUGACAGACACUUCAAAAGGAUUUACCGAAACUUAGAAUUAGGGUUUUAAACCCUGUAUUUUGGGGAGGGGUCUGUUCUGCUAAGAAAAGUACUUUUUGGAUAAUUUAUGAUUUCCCCUCUCCUGUGUCUGUGAAACUACAUUUGAAGUUUAUAAAUUUCAUUUGUCAUAUCAUCCCAAGCAUUCCCCCUUUGGGGCUGACAUCACCUGUAUCAGGAAUACCUCCCUGUGUUUCUUAAGGUGAUGUCAGCUCCUGACACCAUACCACCAGCUAGACAAGGUAAUACUACCAAGUCUUGACCUUAUAGGUUGGGGGUAUGUACUAUCAUUCAGCAGGAGUUCUUCCUAUUCUCUUCUUACCUGUAGCCUAGACCUUGUCUUUCUUCAGUCCCUAUGAAGAUCAUACCCACUCAAUCACAAAAUAAAUAUACAUUGCUUGUUCAGGCUAAAAUUACCUGAUAAAUCAGGUUGUAUGUUCACACCCACCUGAACCAGAUGAAUUACUGUAGUUAAGAUACAGCAGCAAGACUCUUGCAUUCCUAUAAGCAAACAGAUAGUCCCCCUGUAUACCUGUUCUUCUUGCUUUAUAUCUACUCAUAGUUCAUGUUUUUUACAGUGCCAAAAAGAUCCCUUCGACUUUGGAGUAAUUCCUGUAAAAGUUCUCAUAACUUUGAAAAGUAUCUACCAAUAAGCAUUUUUUUCUUCCAGAGAUAAACAAGUGAUUUGCUUUCAUACUUGCAAAACACUUGGUGUUCUCUGAUAUCAGAAGAAUUUAUGAUAAAAAAAUACAAUUUUUUGUGAUUGAAUGAGUCUGAAAGUACCCUAUGUUUGUCUCCAUCUUUACUGCUGUCUCUGCCAUUCUGUAUCACAUCCCACUGUGAUAUCCUUUUAUACAACUCUGACAUACCACAGAAAAUGAAACAAUUUGAGAAAGAAAAUCCUUGACAAUAAGGCCUACUCCUUUACUUUUUUUGUGCAGUUGUUAAAGCAUAAGUUAUUUUAACAGAAAAUGUUAUAAUCAACAAACUUCUGCCCAAUUCUAACCAAAUAUUCAUUGAUUUCAACAAAUUAUGAGUUAUUUGACCUAUCCUUUUGAAAACUUAACUUUUCAGAUUAUGGCUGAUGCAGAUAGCAUAGAGGUUUCAUUGUCAAUAUCUGUCUAUUUAGGAACUAUAAAGGUUUUUUUUAAUUAUUCAGAUUAAGCUCUUCUAAACAGAAAAACAGUUUAUAGAGUCUAGGAGAUUUGCCAGUCAUAUGCUAUGGUUUAUAAUGAGACCUUUCUCUCUCUAUACAUGCUUGAGCACCCAGUAUGCUUUCCUCCACACAC